rnacentral:rRNA from 1 species
GACGAACGCUGGCGGCGUGCUUAACACAUGCAAGUCGAACGGAAAGGCCCUGCUUUUGUGGGGUGCUCGAGUGGCGAACGGGUGAGUAACACGUGAGUAACCUGCCCUUGACUUUGGGAUAACUUCAGGAAACUGGGGCUAAUACCGGAUAGGAGCUCCUGCUGCAUGGUGGGGGUUGGAAAGUUUCGGCGGUUGGGGAUGGACUCGCGGCUUAUCAGCUUGUUGGUGGGGUAGCGGCUUACCAAGGCUUUGACGGGUAGCCGGCCUGAGAGGGUGACCGGCCACAUUGGGACUGAGAUACGGCCCAGACUCCUACGGGAGGCAGCAGUGGGGAAUAUUGCACAAUGGGCGGAAGCCUGAUGCAGCAACGCCGCGUGCGGGAUGACGGCCUUCGGGUUGUAAACCGCUUUCGCCUGUGACGAGGCGUGAGUGACGGUAAUGGGUAAAGAAGCAUCGGCUAACUACGUG